rnacentral:rRNA from 1 species
GUACACGCUGUGACUAGCAUAUCAAUAAGCGGAGGAAAAGAAACUAACAAGGAUUCCCCUAGUAACGGCGAGUGAAGCGGGAAGAGCUCAAAUUUGAAAUCUUAAAGGGUUUCCCUUUACGAAUUGUAGUUUAAAGAAGUGUUUUCUGUUGAGGUUUUGGUAAAAGUUCUUUGGAAUAGGACAUCAUAGAGGGUGAGAAUCCCGUAUUUGACCUUUACUUUCAACUUUGUGAUACACUUUCAAAGAGUCGGAUUGUUUGGGAAUGCAGUCCAAAAUGGGUGGUAAAUUUCAUCUAAAGCUAAAUAUUGGCGAGAGACCGAUAGCGAACGAGUACCGUGAGGGAAAGAUGAAAAGAACUUUGAAAAGAGAGUUAAACAGUACGUGAAAUUGUCAAAAGGGAAGCGUUUGACACCAGUGUUGUUUUUCUGAAAAUCAAUUAAAGAACUGUUUAUGCUAAGCUGUUUAGACUUUAUCAGCUAAUCUGUUUAGUUUUGAGCUUUUCUUUAAUGCACUUUUCAGUUAACAAGUCAACAUCAAUUUCUUUUGCUGUAAAAAAGCUUGAGGAAGGUGGCUUGAGAUUCGUCUUAAGUGUUUAUAGCCUCUUGCCUAUGCAGUCGGAGAGAUUGAGGUCUGCAGCGUAGAUCCUUCGGGGCUAAAUGCAUUUGUGCUAAGUUAUAGCAUUUUAUAGACAACUUGUUGACUAUGAUUUGUCUUGUAGCUUACUCGCUUAUGUUAUUUUACCUACGCUUAGGAUGUUGAAGAUGUAGCACAUCAU